rnacentral:rRNA from 1 species
CUGUCCGAGUUGUAAUCUAGAGAAGGGUUACCUGUGCUGGACCAUGUACAAGUCUUCUGGAAUGGAGCAUCAUAGAGGGUGAGAAUCCCGUCUUUGACAUGGACUACCAGCAUGUUAUGGUAUGCUCUCAAAGAGUCGAGUUGUUUGGGAAUGCAGCUCAAAAUGGGUGGUAAAUGCCAUCUAAAGCUAAAUAUUGGCGAGAGACCGAUAGCGAACAAGUACCGUGAGGGAAAGAUGAAAAGAACUUUGGAAAGAGAGUUAAACAGUACGUGAAAUUGCUGAAAGGGAAACGCUUGAAGUCAGUCACGUUGGCCAGAAAUCAGCCUUGCUUCUGCUUGGUGUACUUUCUGGUUUGACGGGUCAGCAUCAAUUUUGACUGCUGGAUAAAGGGAAUUGGGAAUGUGGGCAUCUUUGGAUGUGUUAUAGCCCGUUGUCACAUACAGUGGUUAGGAUUGAGGAACUCAGCACACCGCAAAGGCCGGGGUUUCGACCACGUUUUGUGCUUAGGAUGCUGGCAUAAUGGCUUUAAUCGACCCGUCUUGAAACACGGACCAAGGAGUCUAACAUGCAUGCAAGUGUUUGGGUGAAAAACCCAUGCGCGCAAUGAAAGUGAAAGUUGAGAUCCUUUAAAGGAGCAUUGACGCCCAGACCAGACCUUUUGUGACGGAUCUGCGGUAGAGCAUGUAUGUUGGGG